rnacentral:piRNA from 1 species
UCCAAAAGAAGUAAUGCAUUUGAGAAGGAGC